rnacentral:piRNA from 1 species
UGAUCUGUAGACCAGGCUGGUCU